rnacentral:rRNA from 1 species
AGUGAACGCUGGCGGUAGGCCUAACACAUGCAAGUCGAACGGCAGCACAGUAAGAGCUUGCUCUUACGGGUGCCGAGUGGCGGACGGGUGAGGAAUACAUCGGAAUCUACUUUUUCGUGGGGGAUAACGUAGGGAAACUUACGCUAAUACCGCAUACGACCUACGGGUGAAAGCAGGGGAUCUUCGGACCUUGCGCGACUGAAUGAGCCGAUGUCGGAUUAGCUAGUUGGCGGGGUAAAGGCCCACCAAGGCGACGAUCCGUAGCUGGUCUGAGAGGAUGAUCAGCCACACUGGAACUGAGACACGGUCCAGACUCCUACGGGAGGCAGCAGUGGGGAAUAUUGGACAAUGGGCGCAAGCCUGAUCCAGCCAUACCGCGUGGGUGAAGAAGGCCUUCGGGUUGUAAAGCCCUUUUGUUGGGAAAGAAAAGCAGCAGGUUAAUACCCCGCUGUUCUGACGGUACCCAAAGAAUAAGCACCGGCUAACUUCGUG